rnacentral:tmRNA from 1 species
GGGGAUGAUAGGUUUCGACGGGGAAGGUUAGCUGUGGGCGGCGAGCCGGGGAGGCUCCGUCCCCGCAAUCCCAGGAGCAAACCAUCAAGUGCCAAUAAUACGGCCAAUCAGUGGGCGCCAGUAGCCGUCGCAGCGUAAGCUGUAACGUUACCUAAACCCCAAACCUGACCGGGAGAUCCGGUCACGCCCCUCCGGCAUUUCGCUGGCGUGCUGGGGUCAGGCGACAGAAAGUCAGCGUGCAUCUUGCCCGACGCCGAUAAAGUAAGAUAAAGACGCUUCGGCUGGUGCGGAUGUGGCGCGGUCGGCUGCGACCCUCCGCACGAGAACGAAAACACCGACUAUGUUCGUAGAUGCUCACAGCGGAAUUCUUCGGACGCGGGUUCGAUUCCCGCCAUCUCCACUU